rnacentral:rRNA from 1 species
UACGUAGGGUGCGAGCGUUAAUCGGAAUUACUGGGCGUAAAGCGUGCGCAGGCGGUCUAUUAAGACCGAUGUGAAAUCCCCGGGCUUAACCUGGGAACUGCAUUGGUGACUGGCAGGCUUUGAGUGUGGCAGAGGGAGGUAGAAUUCCACGUGUAGCAGUGAAAUGCGUAGAGAUGUGGAGGAAUACCGAUGGCGAAGGCAGCCUCCUGGGCCAACACUGACGCUCAUGCACGAAAGCGUGGGGAGCAAACAGG